rnacentral:rRNA from 1 species
GUGAGGAAUUUUCCGCAAUGGGCGAAAGCCUGACGGAGCAAUGCCGCGUGAAGGAUGAAGGCCUAUGGGUUGUAAACUUCUUUUCUCAGAAAAGAAUUAUGACGGUAUCUGAGGAAUAAGCAUCGGCUAACUCUGUGCCAGCAGCCGCGGUAAGACAGAGGAUGCAAGCGUUAUCCGGAAUGAUUGGGCGUAAAGCGUCUGUAGGUUGUUUAAAAAGUAUUCUGUCAAAGAUUAGGGCUUAACCCUAGAUAGGCAGAAUAAACUUUUAAGCUAGAGUUUGGUAGAGGCAGAGGGAAUUCCCGGUGGAGCGGUGAAAUGCGUAGAUAUCGGGAGGAACACCAAAGGCGAAGACACUCUGCUGGGCCAAUACUAACACUGAGAGACGAAAGCGAGGGGAGCAAAUGGGAUUAGAUACCCGGGUAGUCC